GUCUCUUUGAAAAUUAUUAAUAAAGAGUUGGGCCUGCUCGGUGAGAAGAAAAAUUUAACAGCUGCGGUAUUAUAACUGUACUAAGGUAGCAUAAUAAUUUGCCUUAUAAAUUAAGGCUAGAAUGAAUGGUUUGACGAAAAUUAGACUGUCUUUAUUUUAUUUGUUAGAAAUUAAUUUUUAUAGUGAAAAAGCUUGAAUAAUUUAAGGGGACGAGAAGACCCUAUUGAGCUUUAUUUAUUAAUAUUUAAAUAUAAAUAUAUAAUUUAUAUUAUGAAAAUUAUGUGGUAAAUAUAUAUAUAUAUAUAUAUAUAUUUAAUGGGAUUUAAUUUUGAUUGGGGUGAUCAAGGAAUAAAAAUAAAGUACCUUCCUUAAAAUUAAUGAUUGUUUUUAUAGAGUAAUAAACCAAGUUUUUUGCUUAUAAGAUAAGUUACCAUAGGGGUAACAGCGUAAUUUUUUUUGAGUUCAUAUUGAAAAAAGAGAUUGCGACCUCGAUGUUGGAUUAAAAAUUACCUUAAGGUGUAGAGGCUUUGUUAGGUGAAUCUGUUCGAUUUUUAAAAUUUU
rnacentral:rRNA from 1 species